AUGGCAUUGCUUCGUGAUCUAUGGAUGCCCAAAAGUCGGUGCUAUAUCAUAGGACCGGCUUGGCCAACUAUUGAGGCAGAGAACUUCGAGCUGAAACCUAGUCUUAUUGCUUUGGUUCAACAACAACAGUUUGGAGUACUGCCUACUAAAGACCCUUAUGUGCACUUGCUCCGUGUCAUGGAGUAUUCAGAUACAGUAAAGUAUCAAGGAGUUCCUCAAGAUGUUAUCAAGUGCAUGCUGUUCACAUUCUCUCUCCGAGAUGAUGCUCGUGCUUGGUAUCGAUCCUUGCCAUCAAGAUCAUUUGGUUGGAAUGAGAUAUCACGAGCUUUCUUGGAUAAAUAUUUCCCAUUACACAAGUAG
rnacentral:rRNA from 1 species